AACGAACGCUGGCGGCGCGUCUUAAGCAUGCAAGUCGAGCGGCAAGGGGGAGCAAUCCCUCCUAGAGCGGCGGACUGGUGAGUAACGCGUGGGUGACCUACCCUAAGGUUGGGGAUAGCCAUUAGAAAUAGUGGGUAAUACCGAAUAUGGUUGCGGGACUUUGGUUCUGUAAAGAAAGGGGCUUCGGCCCCGCCUUGGGAUGGGCCCGCGUCCCAUUAGCUUGUUGGUGAGGUAAGAGCCCACCAAGGCGAUGAUGGGUAGCCGGCCUGAGAGGGUGAACGGCCACACUGGGACUGAGAUACGGCCCAGACUCCUACGGGAGGCAGCAGCUAAGAAUAUUCCGCAAUGGACGAAAGUCUGACGGAGCGACGCCGCGUGGAUGACGAAGGCCGAAAGGUUGUAAAAUCCUUUUGUUACUGAAGAAUAAGCGGGGGAGGGAAUGCCCUAGUGAUGACGUUAGGUAACGAAUAAGCCCCG
rnacentral:rRNA from 1 species